GGAAAGGACAGGAGAGGAGCACUGAAUGAACUACCGUUACCUCCAUAGACAGCGAGACGAUUCUUUAUUCCCUCUCUUCCUUUGUCCACCGCCAGCAGCGCGCCAUGGCGCCCCGCCGGUACAGCCCGAGCAGCCCCGCCGCCGUGCAGAGCGACACCGCCGCUGGAGCAGCACCGCCGGUUCGCCACUACGGAGAACCACACAAGUUUGAUCCUUCCUUCAGAGGUCCAGUCCGCAGAAGAAGCUGCACUGAUAUCUUAUGUUGUUUGAUCUUCAUCAUUGUCAUCUUCUCAUAUAUGGCCCUGGGGAUAGUGGGUGAGUGACUCUAUACACAC
rnacentral:lncRNA from 1 species